rnacentral:rRNA from 1 species
AUUGAACGCUGGCGGCAUGCCUUACACAUGCAAGUCGAACGGCAGCACGGGUGCUUGCACCUGGUGGCGAGUGGCGAACGGGUGAGUAAUACAUCGGAACGUACCUUAUCGUGGGGGAUAACGCAGCGAAAGCUGUGCUAAUACCGCAUACGCCCUGAGGGGGAAAGCGGGGGAUCGCAAGACCUCGCGCGAUUAGAGCGGCCGAUGCCUGAUUAGCUAGUUGGUAGGGUAAAAGCCCACCAAGGCGACGAUCAGUAGCUGGUCUGAGAGGACGAUCAGCCACACUGGGACUGAGACACGGCCCAGACUCCUACGGGAGGCAGCAGUGGGUAAUUUUGGACAAUGGGGGCAACCCUGAUCCAGCAAUGCCGCGUGAGUGAAGAGGGCCUUCGGGUUGUAAAGCUCUUUUGUCAGGGAAGAAACACCGGCUCUAACGCAGUCCGGGAAUGACGGUACCUGAAGAAUAAGCACCGGCUAACUACGUGCCAGCCGCCGCAGUAA